UGGACCUAGCAAAGCUGUAUCAUGGCAACUUUGGCAAGGAAACCAUCGCGAGUGUCGAUAACUUUAGCCUAACGGAGUUUUUUUUUUUUUAGUUUUUUUUUUUUUUAAAGUUCCUUACAUGCAUGUUAACAGCGUAGCCUGAUAAGUCUGACGGUUUUCGUCAGAAAAGUUUAGCAACCAUAUUUGCGUUGUUAGCGAUACGACGUUAACCUCAUUAAGCAACUAGGAUCGAACACGAGACUAGGGUGAAAGAGAACCUCAAGCCGCGGAACUUGUCUCUUUCCGUUGAUAAGACCGGGCGGACAACAGUGGCAACAAUUUGGCCUACCUUACUCUCCGACGUUUACAAGCUACUAUUCUACAUUAAUGGAAACCCCCGAGACUUUGGUGAGAUGCGUCCAACUCAGUUGAAGCGAACGUAAGCUCCUAGGUGAAAGCUUUGAGCAGAACAACAAUCAACAAUCAUGAAAACUGCCAUUAUCCUGUGUGCCGUGCUGGCACUCUGAGUGCAUGGUCAGAACCCCUCUGAACAAGGGGAGCGCCAGGGAGAAGCUGGAGGAGCAGGGAGAAGCUGGAGGAGCAGGGAGAAGCUGGAGGAGCAGGGGGAAGCUGGAGGAGCAGGGCCAUCUCACUUCAGGCACCAUGCUGUAGCGAAGGGAAGCAGCAACCCCCGUCUCUGGGGCACUAAACCUGCAGCUUGACCGCAACACCAAAGGGCCAGGCCCGUUGUUAUGGCAGUCAGAGCGCAGAGUGCAUAGAGGGGGCAACAUGUUUACAUAAACAAGGCUCAAAAUAGAUGGAAUUCAUUUCUAAAUUAUGUUGUAGUAUUGUUGUGUAUGAGGCAGUGGGGAUUAGCCAAUUAAUCAGAGUUUUUCUGAUUCCAGUGUGACUGUCAAUGGCAAAAUUGUUGCAUGCAAUGGUGGAUGUCAGGCUGUUGUGGACACUGGCACUGCUCUGAUCGUUGGACUCACAUUUCAAACUUGAACAACGCAGUCAGUGGUGUACGUAUAGAACUUGAGCCCUGUUCCAAGUUAUUGUGUAUGAAUGUGUAUGAAGGAAUAAUAAUAAUAAAAAAA